AGGGUUCGAUUCUGGCUCAGGAUGAACGCUAGCUACAGGCUUAACACAUGCAAGUCGAGGGGUAGCAGGGUAGCAAUACCGCUGACGACCGGCGCACGGGUGAGUAACACGUAUCCAACCUUCCCAUAACUCAGGGAUAGCCUUUCGAAAGAAAGAUUAAUACCUGAUAGUACUUUUUCAAGGCAUCUUAGAAAAAGUUAAAGAUUUAUUGGUUAUGGAUGGGAUGCGUUCCAUUAGAUAGUUGGUGAGGUAACGGCUCACCAAGUCUUCGAUGGAUAGGGGUUCUGAGAGGAAGGUCCCCCACAUUGGUACUGAGACACGGACCAAACUCCUACGGGAGGCAGCAGUGAGGAAUAUUGGUCAAUGGGCGAGAGCCUGAACCAGCCAAGUAGCGUGAAAGGAUGAAGGUCCUAUGGAUUGUAAACUUCUUUUAUAGUAGAAUAAAGUGAGCCACGUGUGGUUUUUUGUAUGUAUACUAUGAAUAAGGAUCGGCUAACUCCGUGCCAGCCGCCGC
rnacentral:rRNA from 1 species